GUCUCCGUAGCUCAACUGGAUAGAGCAACUGCCUUCUAAGCAGUAGAUUGUGUGUUCAAAUCACACCGGAGACG
rnacentral:tRNA from 1 species